rnacentral:rRNA from 1 species
UACGAAGGGGGCUAGCGUUGCUCGGAAUCACUGGGCGUAAAGCGCACGUAGGCGGCUUCUUAAGUCAGGGGUGAAAUCCUGGAGCUCAACUCCAGAACUGCCUUUGAUACUGAGGAGCUUGAGUCCGGGAGAGGUGAGUGGAACUGCGAGUGUAGAGGUGAAAUUCGUAGAUAUUCGCAAGAACACCCGUGGCGAAGGCGGCCAGCUGGGCCGGUCCUGACGCUGAGGCGGCGAAGGCGUGGGGAGC